rnacentral:tRNA from 1 species
GAUAAGCUGGCCGAGUGGUUAAGGAGAUAAACUACCUUUUCAUUGUUCUCUACACGUGUGGGUUCAGAUCCCAUCUUUAUCG